rnacentral:rRNA from 1 species
CCUACGGGGGGCUGCAGUGGGGAAUAUUGGGCAAUGGGCGCAAGCCUGACCCAGCAACGCCGCGUGAAGGAAGAAGGCUUUCGGGUUGUAAACUUCUUUUGGCAGGGACGAAACAAAUGACGGUACCUGCAGAAUAAGCUCCGGCUAACUACGUGCCAGCAGCCGCGGUAAUACGUAGGGAGCAAGCGUUAUCCGGAUUUACUGGGUGUAAAGGGCGCGUAGGCGGGAAUGCAAGUCAGAUGUGAAAUCUGGGGGCUCAACCCCCAAACUGCAUUUGAAACUGUAUUUCUUGAGUGAUGGAGAGGCAAGUGGAAUUCCUAGUGUAGCGGUGAAAUGCGUAGAUAUUAGGAGGAACACCAGUGGCGAAGGCGACUUGCUGGACAUUAACUGACGCUGAGGCGCGAAAGCGUGGGGAGCAAACAGGCUUAGAUACCCCAGUAGUC